GUGUUGGGGAGUUCAGUUCCCCAGGCCAAGAGCAGCUGAGUGGCCAGGCCCAGCCUCCAAAGGGCACUGAAGACCCCAGAGGGUUCACAGAGAGUUUUGGAGCCAGCAGCAUCUCCCAGGCAGUGCAGGAAAGGGACUGUGAGAGCGUCUCCUUCAUCGGCCGGCCAUGGCGUGGCGUGCACGGCCACCUGAACCUGCCCAUGUACAAGGGCAUGAUGGAGGCCAUGCUGUACCACAUCAUGACCAGGCCUGGCAUCCCCGAGGGCUGCCUGCUGUGCCACUACCAGGGGGUUCUGCAGCCUGUCGCCGUGCUGGAGCUGCUCCAGGGCCUGGAGUCCCUCGGCUGCAUCCGGAAGUGCUGGCUGAGAAAGCCAAGGGCUGUCUCACUCUUCUCAACACCUGUGGUGGAAGAAAUGGAGGCAUCCUCCAGCCUGGGCGAGAGCCCCAUGGCCUUCUACGAGCCCACCUUGGACUGUACCCUCUGGCUGGGCCAUGUGUUUCCCCAUGAGGUCAAUUGGAACAAGUGGAUCCACCUCUAGGACCCCUGUGGGCAUCCCCUCCUCCCAGCCACCACCUGCCAUGCCACCCCUCCUGGUGCUUGGCAGAUGCCACCGUGCCCCAGACUUGGGUCUGCUGAGCCUCCUGCAGCAGGGGACGGGUGCUCUGGCCAGAGCCACAGCCCAACAUGUUUCCCACUCUCCUGGAACUCUGGAAAGAGGGGCUUCUCCACCUGCCAGUGCCACAGGCUCUUCUGGGCCUGUCCCUUGGGGACUGGCCUCAUCACACAGGGAAUUGGUAAUCUUGUCUCAG
rnacentral:lncRNA from 13 species